GACGAACGCUGGCGGCGUGCUUAACACAUGCAAGUCGAACGGAAAGGCCCUGCUUUUGUGGGGUGCUCGAGUGGCGAACGGGUGAGUAACACGUGAGUAACCUGCCCUUGACUUUGGGAUAACUUCAGGAAACUGGGGCUAAUACCGGAUAGGAGCUCCUGCUGCAUGGUGGGGGUUGGAAAGUUUCGGCGGUUGGGGAUGGACUCGCGGCUUAUCAGCUUGUUGGUGGGGUAGUGGCUUACCAAGGCUUUGACGGGUAGCCGGCCUGAGAGGGUGAACGGCCACAUUGGGACUGAGAUACGGCCCAGACUCCUACGGGAGGCAGCAGUGGGGAAUAUUGCACAAUGGGCGGAAGCCUGAUGCAGCAACGCCGCGUGCGGGAUGACGGCCUUCGGGUUGUAAACCGCUUUCGCCUGUGACGGAGCGUGAGUGACGGUAAUGGGUAAAAAAGCACCGGCUAACUACGUG
rnacentral:rRNA from 1 species